AUUGUUGCUGAUGUUGAAUUUCCUGAGGAAAAAAACCAACAAAACAAAACCCAACAACCCAACACCAACCUUUCCUGUCUCGAAUCUGACAAAGUAAACAGGAUUAAUUCGCCAUAUGAAAAAACGUUAAUGCCGCCUUAACAAAUGCAGAAAUCAGAAGAGAAAGCGGUUUUAACAGGACGUACAAUAUUAAUAGUUUGAACGUAUGAUCGUAAAAAUGAAAAGCCAUUGAUAUACGCUUAAAAGCCGCCGUAUACGCUGAUUGCUCAAGCAUUAAUGAAGAAUGCCCCAGAUUAACUAUUUGCUCUUCGAGGGAUGCAGCAAUAUAACUAUCUAUUAGCACCAUUAGAUGCUUUGCUAUUUAUUUGAAAACACCCCUGCGAGUGGGUUGAGGCAGAACAGAUGAAUGUAAAAAUGAACUGCAGCUAAUUUCGCUAAAUAAUACUCGAAACCUGAGCGCCUCGCAAGGAAGGGGGAGAUUCUCAACUCUCCUUCUCCGAGCCUAAUGACAAUAGAAAUGCUCUGUUUUAAAAGUAAGACCGUAUUGAUUUUCCAAAUAAACAAAUGCAUCCCUCCUGCCAUUUUAGUGCAGAUGUAAAUUUAUUUUAAUGAGAGGGAGUGGAAGGAUUUAUUUUGGUAAAAUAGAGUUGGGGAUAGAGCCGGUGUAAAUCUUUAGGUUUUAAAAAAGAGGAGGAAGGAGGGGGAAGCUGCUUUCCUGGCAGAAAGCUGCCUAACAGUCCUCUAAUUCUUUCUAGAUUAAAUCGCAAUAUGAAUACAGCAUCGAACAAAUACCGAGUUUCGCUCUGAACUCAGUGGAAAGCAGUUACGUCUAACAGAAUUCAAUGAAUUCCUCUUCUCCCUCAAUGUAGUAUGUGUGUGUUUUUCUCUUCCACCACACUGAAGUUCCAUGAAUAGGGAAAGUGGCUCCUAUUGUGUGCCUCUGAACUUCCAAGUCAAUGCAAUUUUUAACCACUGGCUUGUGGUACUUUGAAAAUCACCAGGGGCUGUCAGAGUUGGGUCCUCUGAAAAAUUUACAGUGCUAAAUCAGAGCAUAUGCUGUGAGAGAGGAAAAAAAAUUGCUUAAGAUUGGAGCAAGUACAGUAUCUGGCUGCCCCCUAGUGUAAGUCUCUUAUCUGCCUAAAAUUCAACUUUAAAAGAAAAGGAUCUCUUAAAGGGAAACGACUUUUGGCUCACGUAUGCAUACGAGAAUGAAACUUCUGUACAUUUUAAUCUGAUUAAUUCCUAAGGAUUUAAAAUUAAUUGGCUUGGGCACUCCUAGACCGGACUAUAAGAUUUCUGCAUCAGGGUUUCUGCGAGCGCUGUACCGAAUAGGUAUUUUUAAGGCAUAGUGGUAAGGGAUGGGGGGGGGGAAUCCUGUUUUGUGAAUUUUUUUUUUAAAUGAGGAACCGUGCAUCGCAUGCUGUUGUCAGAGCAAAACACUUUUGCUGCUUAAAGUCAGAUCUACGUCUUUUGCAAUAAUAAUUAAAAAAAAAAAAAAGGAUAAAUAAUUGCCUUAAAGCCUCAGCCGAACUGCCAACCACACCUUCGGAUGUCAGAAGACAGAAAUAUGUGAACUGCUGAGAGAGGUGGGUACUUUUUGCCCCGAGCGCAGCACUUCAUAAAGCCAUGAAAAGGACAUCCCAGGCACCAGGACCCGAGCCCAGGCUUGUCACGGAGUAUAAAAGGAGAGAGAAGGGGAGUUUUUAUCUCUUUGCCCCGCCAACUCUUGAUAGUUCUAAGUUUCAGUGUGACAAUAAACCAGUUUUGAUAACACAGCUCAUGGGUUUCUCUGCCACAUAAAGUUUUCUUAAUAAUAAAGAAGAAGAAACUUUAUCCCUGCUAAAUUAAAAUAGGGCAGAUGUUGGAUAUGGUUCAUAUUAGCCAGCCUUUCACCCCUUUGCCCCUGGCACUAAAGUUCUGACUUUUUCUUUCUACUAUGUCUGUUUCUAACUGAAAGGUAUUAUUCCUGCCCUAGCUCUCUUCUUCUAUUUAUUUUUUCAGUGUCUAAAUUUAAACCUAUUCAUUUAGUAAUAUACAUUCUAUUUCAGAUUGCUAAACCUGGCCAGAGAGGGAAAAUGUUUUCCAAAAAGUGAUGCACCACUGACCUUAAAAGAAAACACGAGGCAGGGAAAGCUGUUCUUAAAAGGUUUAUUUCUAGAGAGUUUUGUAGCUCUGUUGACAUUAUAGGGAUAAUGGCCGUAUUGCAACGGGCUUUCAAGGCCCAAGAGGUUUACGUUUUCUUCUGACCAUAAGUAUAAUAAAAUUUUAAAGGUGCACAAAGUCUCAUCACUUUAGAUAUUUAAAACUGGAUUGAAAAAACUGUUGGGAAACAUACAUUAUAGUGGACAGCCCUGCUCAGAAAGCAGGGGAUAGAAAAAAAAAUAAAAAAAAAUACCCCAAACCCAAAGGCAAACAAAAAGCCCCAGGUUUUCAUGAAAACCCUGGCUAUUAAACUCCCUAGGAUAGCACAGCUCUUUCCUCCAGGGCUGUGAAGAUAGAAUUUAUUGUCCAUUUGGAACUAUCAAGUUUAAGCUAAUAAAAGGCCCUCUGUAAGCAGAAAUGCCCAAGUUGACGUUUGGCAGAGUUUUCAAUGGUAGAGUUUAUAUAGGAUGGGGGCUCUGCACUAUUUGAAAUUAUUCAUAUUCUCAGCAGCUGAAGAUGAUUCGACAUAGAGAAGUAAACGUUAGUAGGCAACGGCUGAAGGUUAAUCAGCAUUGCUUUCUGAACUGGACGGUUGAAAGCAGGAAAAAGCGAAAGCUGCUCUCUCUAGCCCUUCCCUUUGCUAAGGCGCUGCUAACUUUUAUGAUUUUUUUUUUUUUCUUCCUCUUUUACUAUCUGUCUUUGUGCCUGAGGGCCAGUGAAAGAACACUGCAGAUUCUAGAUUGCUUUCAGAGUUUCCCUUUGCUGAUGAUGGAUUACCAUGUCAAUUUAAACGGCAUAGGAUUAAUUUGUUUCAAUGAUUUCUCUUUAGGCUGAAUGCCAGUCUUUUUUUCCAUCUCUCUCCUUACUUAAUAAUAAUAAUAAUAAUAAUAAUAAUAAUAAUAAUUCUUCCUUAAAAACCCCAAACACUUUUGAUAUGCCGCAUUAAAGAGACAAUAAUAGAAAUAGACAAGUUAGGUGUAAUGUUGCAACACAGUUAUGGGUUUGAGUGUUUUUAUCUCUUUCUAAGGGGCUGAAGCAUACAGUCAGUCACAUUAAAAUGAAAUUGGAUCCAACGUUUAUUCAAUAAAUACUUGUCUUGUAGGUAAUCCAGAGCAGAGUGCUUUUGACACAUAAGGACUUAAUUUGUCUUGGAUAACAAGUUAUUAAUAUGGCACAUUUAAACUUGCCACCUACAAUAAGGUCAUUUAGAUCUAUAAUACAACUCGCAAGAGAACUUCAUAAAGCCAGAAACAAAGUUUGAAACUGCCUCCGAGUUGGGGAGCAGACGCACGGCUCACGGUUCGCUCUUUUCAGAAGAAAGUUCAGAGCAAGUAGGAGCAACCCAAACCCAAACGGUGUGCAUCUGCUCUUCUUUGAAAGGCAAACAUAAACGGAGUAAGGAGCGGGGGGGGGGAAAAAAAAGAAAAAGGAACCCAAACACGCAUUUUUGAAUGAGUAAGCUUUAAAGCUGUGCUGCGUCUGCUAGCAAACUCAUUGCAGCUUUGAAAGUGAAAAAACAACAUUUGGUUCCGAGUGGAAAUUCGCCCGCAUUUGCACCCUACCUCUUCCAUGUGCUUUGCAAUUUACUUGCUUUUAAUAAUAAGCAAGGAAGUUGGAACAUAAUCCACCCAUAAACGUUAUUGCUGUAAUUUGACUGUGCUGUGUUUGUUCAUGCAUUAGCCGUAUAUGUAAAGUGAAAUGGGGAUGUAUGGUGGUGAUCCCCGUGCAGCCUGAACAAACAGAGAUGUUUUGGUACAUACUGGAUUUCAACCCCCCAAAUACUCCGCAAUUGUUUUUAAAUUUGGAAAGCUGGACGUGAGGUUUCAGACCUGUCCUAACUGAACAAUGCCUGCAAGAGGUGCAUCAGGAGGGGAAUCUCAUGGCCACGCUAUACACGACGUGUUUUGCGGCUGUCGAUUCGGUCUCCACACCGUAUGCGUGAGCUUUAUUAUCCUGUUUUUAUAUAUUAAGCUCUUGGUUGCUCUUGUCCUGGCAGAUUCUGUCUCUUUAAGUAGCUAAAUCUCAUUUUUAAGCUCUUCUUGGGAAAAGGAUGUUACACAUGAGUAGAAAAAUGCAGGCAAGAAAGGCUAAUUGAAUGAAAAGAGAGAAUUAGGUUAAAAAUAGAGUACAAUCUAGUAUCACAUUUUCACUAGUGUAACCUGAAAUGAAGGUGUCUCCAAGUCCCUAGUGAUGCCAGAGUGUUUAGAUGUUGGGCACAGAUGGAGACACCUAUUGAAAUGUGUCUGAAGAAGAUUAAUAGGACUUGUCAGUGUUGGGAAAGCACUGCUUUGCUGUAAAUUUCUACUAGCACAAGAUGAAUUACCGAUGAAUGCUCAGUUAUCAACCCCAUCACUAUCAUUGGACACUAAAUCAAAUUGAGCAGUUAUCUACAAUCAGAAAAUUUCUUUUAAAAAUAGGCAUACACCUUUAGGCUUAAACUCUUUAAUAAGACAAUAUCCUCUAUGGUAUGUGUGUGUUCACGAAGGGAUAUGAUUUAAAGUUUCUCUACAAAAAGCUCUGUUUGGAAACGAACUCCAAGUUUAGUAUGAAAUCAGGGUUGUCAAACAAUAGAAGACAUUCCGAAAAUACUGGUUAUACAAUAUAAUGUUCAGCUGGGGGCCUGAUCCAAAAUGGAUUUUCAUGUAUGUCAUUAGAUUUUGGAUCCGUCCCUAUUUGUGAGAGGUUUUUUUUUUUUCCAUUGCUCCCCUCCCCUUAUUUUUGGUGAUGAUAAAAAACUUCUCUCUACCUUAAAGACUGAGCAUCCUAAUCAUAUAUUAAUGCAAAAUAGCUGUCAAGACUCAGGAUAUACAUAUAAUAAUGAUGCCACCCCCCCAACAUAUUUAGGAAAUUACAGCUUAAUAUAAUGAAAUAGGUGAUGAAAGAAUCAACAAAUUAUAUUUUAACUGAAAAUAUUUCCUCUUCUCCUUUAUAAAAGAGGAAACUGUCACAAGCAAAACCAUCACAAGCAUUUACCAGCCCACCGUUAAAGUAUAUUAGCUGUAUUUACCAUGUGAUGCUGCUGCUGACUGCGAUAUUAAAUAAGCAUUCUAUAUUUUUAAUUCCUAGGAUUUCUUUCCCUCUCACCCAGGCAUUGUACUUCUUCAUCCCAGGAGAUUUAUCGUGGCAUGUUUUCCGAAGUCAAUUUUUCCCUUUUAUUAUAGACAAGGGCAGUCAUUUAUGUUUAGGGAGGGAGACAGGUACAGUGCCUUUAUCUGAUCUGUGUCCCCAGCCACAACCACCUUCUUAAUCGACGGCAAAUUCCCACUCUGGAGAAUCAGGCCCUAUCUGGGCUACUUCUCAGCCAAGGAAUGUAUCCUUCCCUUCAUCUCCACAUAUCUUACCUGUGAUGUAUGCUACUUUUGGAGGAGGGAAUAAUAUGCUGUUUACCACAAAGCGCAGCUUCAAAGCCUUUGUGUGUUUCUCAUCUCCAGCCAAAGCUUAGUAUUUACCACCUUAAAAAUUUACCCGGGUAAGGGAUAGUAGCAGUAAUUGUCUUCAUUUUUACAUCCCAAUUUUCACGCAGCAAAUGCCCUGCAUUAGGGCCAGAUUCUCACUCAGAUGGAAGUUAUUAACAUUAAGCAGAACGGAGCCGAUUUCAGCCAGCCACAGCCCAUGCCCUUCUAACGGAGUUGCUUUAAAGCAUCCCCUUGUUUAUUUUUUUCUUUGGAGGGCAUGAUUCUUUAAACAUGUUUGUUUUACACAGAGCGGCAGUUGAUUCCUAACUUUUUUUUCCCCACAAGCAUGUAAAGAGAAUAUUAAUAGGGAAUAUUAAUAGAGCUGGGUGCAGCAUGAUGCUAGUUAGAUUGUAGUAGCUGAGAAAUAUGAACUAGUGAACAUAAUCCAUAAACUCCAUUUGGUUACUAUAAUACUCCAAUCUGUAUUUAUUACAACCCCACUCUGAUGCUUAUACAACUGCAAUUGCUAGAUUUAUACACUCUAAUGGUUUCACAAUAGGAAAAACCUGUGUUCUUUAUCUUUCUUUUCCUGUCCAAAAUAACCCCUUCUACAUAUACUUCAGGCUUCUCUGGACCUUGUCUGGGUUUAAUCACAGGCUGUGGGACAAAAUGUGCAUUAUUAAGAAAUAUAAAUAUUUUCAGAAGCAAUCAAAGGGUUGAAAGAUUGAUUCGGCAUGUAGAUUGGAUUUAAUUUGAAGCAGCUUUGUUCUAAUGAGGACUACUGGGAUACAAAGACGGCAGCCGCUUAUGGCCACCAGUUGGGAACUUCAGCUCACUGCAGCAACCUGUCAAGAAUUUCAAGAAACUGCCAGGUUGGCGAGUACUGGGUUUUGGGCGGCUCAGCCAGCUCCUCCCUGGCGGGGCACGGUGGUGGCGUGCGCUCCGGUUGCUUCCCAAGAGACAGGGAAAAUAGUAAAGAACGUGGGAUUCCCCACAGGAGUUUGGAAGAUGUCCACGUCUACGACAAUGGUGAGGAUUGGGCCAAAAUCCAGAUCCAGACCCGGAUUCCUCCAUCUGAGUAGUCCUAUCUCGACCUACAACUGCUGACGAAUCACAGCGACGUGGACCUUUCUCUCUCCUUACUCCCCAGCACCAGAUCACCAAGGGGGCCUGAGAUAAUACUGGAUGAGCCACCACAAGACCACGACUGGAAAGCGUGGGGACCGAGCACACCGAGAGACGGUUGAUGCAGCUGGUUCCCUGUCUGUUGCUGGGUGGUGGCUCAGCUCUCGGUCAUGGCACAAACUACCAGAGGCUGGAGAAACAUCGCAUGAACUGCUCCUGCCCUGGUUCCCCCUUGUCAGUCCUCCAUGCUGUAUGAAGCCCUGAGAACCAAGCCAACCUGAGUGCAUGGCCAGGCGUUUGCUUCUCUCGUGGUCUAUUCCUGAAGCACAGUGCAAAGUUUCAUCCUUUGCUUCUGCAGAUGUACAUGGAUAUGCUGAUAAACUGCCAUUUAGUCCAGAGGCUGGACAAAAAUAAAUCACUGGAUAAAGUACAUUAUUCCUAGUGAAAACCUUCAUGGAACAUGUUCUUGCCCCAAAGCCCUCCUGGAAUAGGCACAGUAAUGCUCCCUGAGACCUGGCAGCCCUUCUAAGUGAGCAUAUGGUCUGCUCCGCUCUUGCAGUACCGGUGCACGGUGAGUAAACAGGCAGCGAUGUCAGAGCAAACAGGAGGCUGUUUAAUAGCAUGAAAUUCUGUAGCUACUUCAAACUUCAUCAGUACUUCAGAAAUGGAUUCCCUUUCUCUGCUGGAGUGUGCACCGUUUGCAGGAGAGGUAGGAGAAAACUGAGACAAUCUCUUUGGGGGUGGAUGGUGUCUGUAGCCAUGUCCCAUAAAGCUGAUGCUGCUGAGAAAGGGUCCUGGCGUGUCAGAAGUUGCAUUUUCUGGUGAUGCUCCAUUGCCUUCCUCAUUGUUCUGAGAUGUCUCCUGAUGCAAUGUAACUUGCACGGUAAUUGGAUUAGAGAGAGGGACCCGAAGGUAAAAAUCCCACUGUUAACCCAGGCUGGCGAAGGACAGAACAUUAGCUGCAGUAAUUGUAUUUCUGAGGGAGUCAACAAAGCCAGGCGCGUCAACGCUAGCGAGCAGAUCUGGUCCUGCCUCUGUGCUUCUUGCACUGGCAGAACAUUGCGCUGAAAUCACUGGAGUAGGGAUCGGGCCAGGAAUGAGCGGCUGAGUUGCAAAGCAAAUUAAUUCCUGCCAAAAAAGUUCAGCUAUGCUCAGAAGUAUGUAAAGUGUCUGAUUUGAGAAGUGUCAAGUAGCAUUUGUGACCAAUUAUCCAAGAUGAAGGGGGCAGAGCUAUGUUUACAUGUACUAAUCUUCAGCCAAAGUUUGAAAACUCCAAUUCAUGGACACGCAUCAAAUUUCCUUUCCAGGCUUGGCAUUUGCCUGUAUGCACGCACGCACAUUGCUUGGGGAUGACAGGAAAACAUGAUUACCACUUGCAAAUAAUACAAAUAAAAAGAAAAAAAAAGUGAGGGGAGCUGCCAUGCAGCAGCAGCAUGGUAAUUAAGUCUAUACUGUGAUAUGUGAAAAAAACCCAUGGACCUCUGUAUGAGUAAAAUAAUAGCUUUAUCAGCUGAGCUGAAAUAUGAUGUGUGGUGUGUCUGUAUUGUUAUUUUUCCACAACCUCUGAAAUCCUGGGAAAAGAUCUACACAAAAGAAUAAGAAGUAAAAGCUGCCUCUGCCACCUUCUGUUUAAUUAACACAGGUAUACCAAUUUAAUGCAAUUAAUCAAGAUAGGGAUUAAACAGUAACUCAGAGUUGACAAUGACAAUGUUGCCAUUGCUAUGGCAUAGAAGGGGUACAAAAUGGUAGUGGUGACUAGAAACACUGUAAGAACAAACUGGCUGGAGUUUUUGGGUGAGUUUUAGAGAUUUAUGCAGAUCUGUUGAAAUCUAGGGGCAGCUGAUUUUUCAUGUGGCCAAGUGUUUAUCUGCCCCUGCCCUUCCCUUUCCCCUCUCAGACCUUCCAGAGUAACCCCCAGAGUGGCAACAACUUUUAAAAUGAUUUCUCUUUCUUCUAACAGGUUUCUGAUGCUAAAGGUCUGACCUUAAAAUGAGCGGUGCAUAGGGCAAGAAUGGGUACCGCAGUGAGCUUCUGGCCUUCAACCCUUCCAAAUACAGCUAUUUUGGUAACCAGAACAGUGUAUUCAUGAUAGGUGAGGGAACAGAGCCUUCCAGGGAAGGAUUUCUCAGCACAUUAACUCUAUCAGUGCUGGUUGCUGUGUCCCUAUGCAGGUUUCCUGUGUCUAUUUAAGACCCUAAAUGCAGAUUUGCAGAAGUCUGCAGCUUUCUGCAAAUUCAUGGCCAUACUUCAGUGCCUGCUGUGCCUAAAAACUGAACCAUUCUUGCUGGGGAUGUCCAUGUAGAUCUGGGGAGAACUGCAAUCACAUGCCCUGUAAGCAGUUCAGGCUUGGAUUUCUUGUCCGCAGGAGAGGCACAGCCUGGUUUGCUGCAAUGCAACUGUCCUCAUUAAUGUAUUUCAAGCCCUGAUGUACUGAGACCACCACGGUGGGGUAAGAAGAUGGUUGAGUUUUCCGGGCUCAUUCUCGUGGCUUAAGAACGUUAAAUUGGGUGAUAAUGAGUAGUAACCAUGUCCCUUUUUAUGGUGAAGUUGACACUUGCCUUCUAGUAAACAGACACAGAGAUGACCCUCCUCAUUUCGCACAGGUCACCAAACAGCCCCUGGGAUGGUGAGGGUUAUUGGCCAUUUACCAAACGCGGUUUGACUGGGGUUCAUGGGUGAGAGAUGAAAGGCACUAUAUUGCAUUACCAGUCCCUGGGGCCAGCCGGUCUCCCUAAAGCAGCAUUUCAUUUAGCAAGGCAACUGCUGGCCCAUGGGAAUUGGAGAGCUAAGAAAAAGAGGACGCAGUUUCAACUGCAAAUGCUUCCUUAGGGCAGAUGUCUUAAAGCCACGCUCAAACUCGCUGCUUCAGUGUCACAAUAGUUGCUCCAGGACAUUUAAUGGCCAGCAGAUUUUCCCCAUAAUUAAUUUCCCCUUCUUACCAAAACAUCCAUUAGGUUACUCCUGGUGCUUCUGCCUCUGCCCUGUUCUGUUUUGCUCCCUCUCCCUGGGGACAUGCCCCGUACCUGGGGCAAGCCCAACGCCGCAGGUAUGAACUGUUACCUUUUCUAAGAGCUUCAAAAUCUAGGCAGCAUGUGCCUUCCCUGUCUCCCAGAUGAAACAAGCGGCCUUGGUACCACACUUAGAGCUGUUGGGAGCUUGGGAGGAGAGAGGCGUUCUCCUGAACUUCCCAACUGUUUUCAAUGUCCUAGAGCUGAGACGCUGACUGAUUUUUGUGGCUACAGUGGAGUGGUCCUUGCUAUCGGGGCAGUCCUUUUUACAGAUGAUGGAUGCAGUGCUUAAUGCUGCAAUAGUUACAGGAAGGAGGACUGCUCAGACCAAGAAUUCAGCCUGGACCCAUCCUGAAUUUCUUAUGAUCUCAAAAUCCAAUGUUGUUCCAAAUUCAUUAGCACUGGUCAAAAUCCUCUUUCGCUUUUCUCCCUUGCUGUUUGUGACGUGAAUCGUGAGACCUUCAGAAGUUGCGUUUGUUGUCUGAUAGUUUUACAUCAUGGUUGUAAUAGUGCAUCUGUCGAGUCAGCAGUUCUUUCCGUGUUUGUUUGUUUAUUUAAUAUUACAUUUCCAGCAAGUUCUUGUUACCCAGUUCCUGCUGACGCCCAGGGAACAGGCACAAGUCAGCUCAGAAAAUGAACGACUGGAAGUGCCGUCUUCAUCUCUGGUUUUGGCAUGACAGACUAUGUGGUCUCAGUGAGACUGUGCCAUCUUGUUCCCUGCUUUCAGGCUGGGUUCACAAGCUGGAUUUCAAAGAAGCAACUUUGAUGCAGAGAUGUGACUGGAAUAGGAACAGUAUUCCAGGGUGCACCUCAGCUCUGGCUUGAGAUCACACCAUUAAGCAAUGAGAUGACAAACCGGUUUCCUUUCUCAAGCUGAAUGUCACGUAACUGCCCAGGGGCCUGUUUUGGUGACGGGAGCAUCCCUUGACUUUUCAAGGAGAGAUAUGCCCGUGCGACCCUUUCCCACCCCCUACGCUUGGCAGGAGGAGACAAAACUGCUCAUUUCCAUCUGUGACAUUUCUUAGCCAGGAGGAAAGCCAUGAGGUAUCAGACUGUAGGCUGGGAGGCAUCAGGGCAGCCACCUGUUAGGCACUGACAAAGAAACCUCCAAAAAACCACCAAGUGGAGAUGAAUUCCCAGGGCUAAAACAAGCUGAUAUAAAGGGUGAUGGUACCUUUCUACCCACCCAACAAGAUUUGUUACUCCUAGAUGGGGCAGACAACAAACAUAUCCAACCCCAAAUGCUCUGCAGUUGAUAGAUCUGCUUUAGCGAAGAGAGCCUUGAUCAUGCUGCAGCAUUAGAAGAAGUGCAAAAGGCCCAAGGAGCAGUGCAGAGUAUGUAUUACCAACAAGAAAAUAGUGGGUGAAAAGCUGUUGUAACUCCUGGCUCCAGGAGCCUGUCUGGAGGCACAGACUCCCCAAGGCAGAGGGGAGUUGGAGAACUUGUGGUGUUCAGUGAGAUCUCACCACCCCCCGCCACAGAUUUAGCAGUCCAGGCCAAAGGAGUGGGGCAAGGUCCUCGGCUCUACUCCAAGUUCAUUCCUCUAUUGAUUGUGAAGAGGUAUUUAUAAUGGACCAGGAUCUUGAACCGAGACUAGCCUACCAGCUGAAGCUGUACGAACUGAAUCCUAUAUUCCCCAACUACAGAUAAAACCAAUGGCCAGUUUUAGCCUAAUCAUCACUUCUGCCAGAGGAAAGAGAAAUUCUUUGAGGUAAGUUCCCUUGGAUAUAAUUCUUUCUUUCCAGGUUAAAGAAGGGCUGCAGCUAAUACAUAUCCUGAGUCGUAACGUGGAUUUGCACCUUUCCCGUUAAAUAUAGCUGGUUCUUGUCCAAAGCAUCACUUCUAUUCCUAACGCUCACUUAUAUCGUUACAACUUCUACAUUAGUUGCAGGUGUGAAAUGCCAACUGAUCCACACUUCUGUUGCUGUCAGCGGGAGAGUAAUGUAUGUCAAAGGCCUGAUUCUCAGAGGUGAGGUCACCAGGAUCUCCAUUUGCACAUCUGCUUUGCUAAACACAAAACUCUGGAGAUUUGCAAAGCUCCAAUAUACACAAAAUGGGAUGAGUUCACUGGGGUCCAUACAUAAGAAACUGUUUGUGCUUCUCAUUUAGUAGGCAGGUUGCAGAAUUUUCCCCUCUAUACAAAAUAUUUGCUGUUUUACAACAGGCAGCAUUUUGCUAGACUGCAUAUAUGUAUAAUUGUGUGUUCUAUAUUAAUAAGGAAAACGGCUACACUUCUCCAUGUUACAUGAUACGAGAGAAGUCAGGAUACCAACAGGUUAAAAAAGAGCCUAAUAGAUUAAGCAGCUUCAGAAAGUUACUAGUAUCUAAUGCAUCCCUGCUUCCUGAUCAGAGCACCCGGAGGGAUGAUGCUCCUGGAGCCUGCCUUACACAGAGGCAUCCAGAUUUGGUUUUGAGGGCUUCAAGAGAACCAUUCAAAUAUUUCCACUUCCUGCUGUUAGUGGAUUUUGUUUUUUUUUUUUUUUUUCCAUACCUCAGAAACGUCUUCUGAUUGUAAUGUGUUUGCACUCGAUGCCUAGAUAAUGGUUCAUUCUCAGGAACCUCUAAUCCACAGUGUUUUCUGCCUUCUACAUUUUACACGAGAUCAAAGACUAAUCAUAUAUAUACGCCUAAUUCCUUUUUGAUUUCUGUUAAUCUAGAAUGUCCUUCAGUAAAGAUUCCCAUGAGUAAUCUAUAUGGACUAUUUUCUUUGUCUUCAUGUACGGUAAACAGUCAGCCUUUCAAUGUCAUCUAGUUAUGACAUCAUGAUUCUGUUUUUUCUGGACUUACAGGACAUUUUAAGCACAUGCAUCCGAGCAUCAUUCAUCACUAUGCACUAUACUUUUCCUCCCUCUGUUGACUAUUUCGGAAGUUUUUUUGCGAUAGUGGAACCAAAGUUGACCUUAAUAUCCAAAAUAAGAAAACAGAAUUGGUCAUCAGCUAUAUGUUUCCUUAAAUAGAAUUUAGAUCUACUAUCCCCAUAGUGACUUAAUUUGAACUCAAACCAAGUGAUGAUUUUAAAAACCCACAGCAUACUGGGGAAAGCCAGGAGGGGAACACACAGGUCAGAGUAGGUUUCAUGAACAUCUGAGAUGCCAACCCUGAGACUGUGCUGCUCAAAAUGGACAUCUCCUUAACGAGGCUGUUAAACAUAAUUUUCACAAGGAUCAGAAGAGAUGCACUUUUAAUACUGAGGAAGGGAAGCAUUUGCUUUUCAGAGAAAAGUUUGAUUCUGGAAAAUACUCAUUUUGGUAUGUUAAAGGAACUGCGCUGUAGCAGACAGCAUGGUUUGUAUGGCUUCUCAUGGAAGUGGCUAUUGAAUUCAUUGAAGUGGCUAUUGAAUUAAGAAGUGUCCUUUCCCCCUGAAACUUACAGCAGAAAUUCAGAGCAAAAAUUUGUCAUGUUUCAUCAGACUGACUUCAUUACCUUCGUGAGUAAUAGAAAUUACAUUUGUUUCCCUGAGCUGUACAAUUAGACAUAAUAAACCCAUGAAAAGAAACAGGGAAAAAGAAGAGAUGCUGAUUUUCUUGGGAAGAAAUACAGAAAACUUGGGCUUGAAAAAAUGUUUGAGUAUAAUGCUCUGGAUUUUUAAAGAAAGUUUAAAGAAACAUUUUCCAAGUGCAUGCCUGUUAGUUUAACUUUUAUUUUUGCCAUGUAUAAUUAUGAGAAAAUUACAGACAACUCAUAAGAUUUUUAGUUACUGUUGAGAAUUCUCUUUUCCAAGAUAAUUCUGUAUGCUAUUACUUUACCCCACUGGGUAUCAUGUAGGCAAGGUGUAAGAUUAUGCACACGAAUAUUUCUGUCUACUACUUAUGUGUGCUGGGACAAUAUCAACUUAUACUUUCUUUUGUCGUUGGUCUUUAUUCUAUAGAGGAUGUUCUUAAUUACCAGCAAGACAAUUUGGUAAUAUCAUGUAAAGUGUUACAGCAUCAUUUCUGUGAUGAUUUACACCUGCUAAGGGUCUGAUCAUUGAAUUUUUAACCGUAUUUUAACUUCAGAGGAUAGAGAAUAUUUUUUCUACAGAACACUUUCUAUUUUUAAUAGAAAUAUGCUCCUUUGUUUAAUUUAUUGGCACAGUUCUUCUAAAUGAUACGGAGCUUUUGAACAUGAAGACAUCAUUUCUGCAUGUUUGUGCUGCCCUGAAAAAUUAAAAGCACACUUCUGUACUGGUUUAAAUCAACUCAAGUCUAAACGCCUAAACACUAUUUUCGACAACUAUGAGGGAUGUACUUUUACAGGGAUUCUAAAGAAUACAAAACUAAAAAUAUCUCAGUUGCAGAACAAAUUCAUUGUAUUCCUUCCCCCACUUCGUGAUUGUGGUUAUACUUUUUUUUUAAUCCUUGCAGGUUUAUUCCUAAGUCUGUUGGAAAUGAUUCCAUUGACUCCAGCAAACUAUGCUUUCUACUGGAUUAAGAUGUUUGCACGUCAGAUUUGCUGGUGAUGUCCCACUAAUGAAAUGGGGAAUUUCAUAAACACAUCAGGGAGGGCAUUUCUGCCGCUGACACAGUGAAGGAGUAGCUGGACCUUUGGUCUAACCCAGUACAGCUACUGCCAGGCAAGACAAACGGUUAUCUGCAAACCUGUUGUUCUCUCCAGAAACCCGUGAAAAAACUCAGGUUUUCUUGUCAUUUUGCAAAGCAAGAUGAGGCAAAGAAGCAGGACGGGCCUUGGGAAGAAGGAUGGAGCCUUAACAGAAGGAAUUGCUGAAGAGUUUACACACUGGCAAAGAGCGAGCAUACAAGUUAUUCAAAACCUAUGACAAAUUCUUACUUCAACAGAAACCCUUUAGAUCCGUCCUAUUUGCGCGCAAUGGAAAGGACAACAGGAUGUAUGUAUACAGGCCUUGAGAAAUACAAGCUUUUACAUGAACAGAUACUCAGAAUUAUGGAUAAAUUCAGCUGUGUUUGAAGUUUUCAGUGCUGGAUCAACUCAGAACAUGAAGUUCUCAGUUAUUCCUCCUCAGAAGCCAUCCCAAGCAAGAACACCCUGAGAUACUGAAUUGAUGAUAAAAGUGGAUUAUAUCUGGGGUUUUGAUGAAACCUUUGUAUUGAAAUGCGCCAAACAGGUGAAAAGGUUCAGAGGAAACAAUGUGGUUUUCAUGAAGUUUCUCAACUGAAAAAAAUAUGUUAAAGAUGUUUCAAAAUUAUUGCAAGUGUCCCGAUAGAUAUUUUUCUAAAUGAUCAUUUAUUGGCUUUGAAGUAUGUUUUGGUUUUAAUUUUUAAUUUAUAAGUGAAAGCAAAAGAUGAAAUAUUUUGAAAUUACUGAA